CUUCUAGUAAUACUUCAAUCAUUUGAUAUACAUUUUCUGUGCGUAGCUUACACCCCUGUUUCUAACAUAUGAUAUGUUUUUGAUUUUCUAAUCCAUACAUAUGUUUAAAAUAAAAGGUUGACGUGCAAGCAAUCCGCGAAAAAGUUGCAUGUCAACUUGUGAUUAACAAAUAUAAUGAGCAACAGGUACCAGUAGCAAGACAAUUCAUUGCCAAACAUGCAAACCACCUUCUGCAUUGAAUAAGAUCUCAACACUUUUUUUCUCAAGUUGAAACUAUGAUGCACUGCAAAAAAAAGUAAGUAUCUUACUUCAACAGGAUAAAUAGAAAUAAAUAUCUCCUUCUUGCAGUCAAUUUUACAGGAUUUUGACUGUUCUGUUCUUUUCAGAGAACACACCAACUUAUUUUCAGAGACCACACCAACAUGGAAAGGAGAAGCAGAGAAAUUGGCAUGAAAAAGCAGAGCAUUGCCAUUUUUUUUUUCAGAGGACACACCAGUUGAUCAAAGAUGUUUUUAGUGUACUAAACACAAGUCUUUGUAUCUGUCACAACAUACUGAUAUUUGCCUGAAUAUGUAACAGUGUAACAAUGUGUCCUUCUGGUUUAACUGAAAUAUGUAAUAGUGGCUCUCUGUACUUCAGAUGUUCUUCUUCGAUUCCCUGGUUCCAGUGAGGUGAGCUUAGCUGAAAGUUUGUUCUCUAAAUUGUACACGCAAAGGACAUGCAUUAUAGACCUGUUUUGUUCUCUAAGUUUGGAGCUUUUUCUAUGUGCUUUGUUCCCUGGUUCCAAUGAACGAUUUCAGAGAAAGAAUCUAUUCAAUACCAAAAUAAUACCAAUUGACGAAAGAGUUUCUGUUUCUGUAAAUGUUUCUUAUAUUUUCAGGAAAGUGCUACGAACUUAAAAAUUGCCAGCGGGAGAAUCGAACUCGUGACUGCGUAUAUUUUUUCAUAAAAGUGCUCCGAACUGAAAAAUUGCUGGCGGGGAGAAUCGAACUCGAGACUGUUUCGUAUAUUCAGAAGCAGCGAACAGAAAAACAGCCGGUGGGAAUCGUGUGCCGGGCCCAACAACAGCCGGGGGUGUGCGGCUCGUGUCUCGCCACCGACCAGGUCGGUGUAAAGCACCUCCCGGGCUGCACUUGCGUGUCUUUGCGCGUAUGGCACGCUCCAACUCGGCUGGGCCGGCCGUUCUUUUUCUUUCUUUAUUUUUUUCCUAUUUUCUAUUUUGUAGUUUUAGUUUUGGGCAUUUAAUUUUAGAGAAAUGAAAUACAGAGGUUCCGUAAAACUAAUGUACAAUAUGUGGAUAAUAUGGAAUACUGUUUCA